AUUUUGUGAGCGAGAAUAGACGGAGUUUUAGAAAAUUGCAAUAAAAUUACAUUUAUUAGUGUUCAAAUGUGUUAAAAAUAAGUUUUGUGAUAUUUAUUUGAACUAAAUUAUGCAUAUUAGGGAUGACACGAAUCUUUAUUAAAGGCAAUUGGAUUUCAACUCGAGUAAAGAGAUAUUAAGCACCUUGUCAUUUUUGGCUGAAGGCAGUAAUCUGUAAAGUAAUUAAUAAAUUUACCAGCAGAGAACGAUAACGUUUUUACUGUCGCAAAGGUUACCAUGCAAGAAAGUGCAAUUGAUAACAGAUAAAGAUCUAAAUAAGUCAAAUGCGGAUCCAACUUAAUAUGGUGGAAUGGUGGUGCUAUGCAAGUCUGAUUUAUUUUUAAUAACUGUAUCUACCUACCUAUAGUAAAAAAACCACUUAAGAGGUGUACAAAGGCUGGUGAUGAAGUGGUUUUGCUUGGUGAGUCACUACUACUUAGGAUGUGAGGCAAUUUUAAUUUUUGUAAUGUGUGAUUGAUGCUUGUGUUCUUUUUUUUAGGUGAUUUAAGAUAUGCUCCAUGCGCCUGCCUAAUGACACCAGUGAGUGGUACCGAAGAUAAUUCCCCAGAAGCACUCAUAUUCUGCAAACUAUAAAUCAAACAUUUUACAUCUCCAUGUAUGUACCUAAAAGAAUAAUAAGUGUGGAUAUGUACAAACUUUCAUUAAAAUUUUUGUUUUAUCUUAAUUAUUUUGAAUAAUAAAAUAUACCUAUGUAUAAAUGUAUUUCGUAUUUAAAAUAAUU